CCUUUAUACAUCUUUAUAAAUUCAUUGUGGUUUUUGAUACAUUUGGAUAUUUUUCUUUGUUCACUUUCAAUCAACUCUUAUACAGUAAUUUUUUUUGAGAUACUUGGAGAAGUUUGCUACAAAGAUGAAGGUUGUUUUCAUUUUUUUGGUUUUGAUUGUCAUGGUUUCAAUGAUAAGUGCUAAACCACUUAUUGGUUCAACUUCUUGUCCUGUGCCUAGAAGCAAGUGUGGAGCAGCAUGCAUCAAGAGAUGCUCACAUAAAGGUCACAAAAAGAGAUGUUUGUUCUAUUGCAACCAUUGUUGUGGAUGGUGUCAAUGUGUUCCACCAGGCUAUGUUGGGCAAAACAAAGGGUGUUGUUCUUGCUACAACAAUUGGAAGACACAAAUAGGAGGACCUAAGUGUCCAUGAAAAUCAAAUUAAAUUAAUCAUGGAAGAAAAUGUUGUAUAGGAGAAUCUUAAUAGCUCAAUUAUUAGUCGACUAUUUGAACUUUUACGUAUUGAUAAGAGUUCGAUUCUCCACUUUAUCCCUACUUUACGUUCAACUUUGUUUUUUCUUAUUUGAUCUUCUUGAGAAAGCGUUUUUUCUUGUUUUCUCGUGGUACUUGUAUGCUAUUGGUCAUUGUGGAAGAAUUUUCUAUUUAAUACUUGUACGCUAUCGAUCAUCAAGGAGGGAUUUCCCAUAUUGUUAAAA